rnacentral:lncRNA from 1 species
GUCUUUUAUAAGUUUCAGAAAAGAGAUGGUAUUUUUAUGUGGGUGACCUUUGAGAACCAGCAAAUCACUAACAAAGAAGAUACCCAAAUUUCCCAUUUUAAGAAUAUAGCAGAAGUAUAAUUUCAAGAUUAAAAUGCAAGUCCACACAUAUGUAGCUAAGAACACAAGCCCUCUAAGAUGAGCCAAGAAAAAAAAUUACUGAUGUUUGACUCAGUUAGCUAUUCUUUCUGACAGGAGAUUAAAGCCGCCUGUGAGAUUUCUUUGACUCGUGACUCAUUUAAUUCGUUUAGACAUUGCCAGCAGAGCAAGCUACAACAAAGCAGAUCCAUCUUAACAAGCUCACUCCUGGCUGUUCUAAUAAAGAAAAAUAAUUGAAUUGCUGAUUUUGAUUUUUGAAAAUGCACUCAGCAUUUGAGUAUUUGGCUUCACACUCCAAAUAAACAUAGAAAUAUUUAUUACAUCAUCUUCUUCCCCAGAGUGAAUGGGAAAAAAAGCACACGCACAGAAUUAGCUCCAGGUAACCUUUAAACUAAUGUAGCACUGAAGUAUGUUUGCCAUGUUUAGUUUAUUAUAACUGAAUUUUUAACUUAAAAUCUUACUGUCUUAUUUGGAAGAAGCACCAGUUCAAAGCACAUGUGGAUAAAUGAAUAAUGCUGAUGUUAAGCACAUUUAUUAUGAAUGUUAUUUCUCAAGAUGCAUCUGCUGCAGCGGAGAAGAAUCAGUCCUGGUCAAAGUGAGCAGUAGGUAGAGCUGAAGCAGCAAGCUGGUGGUCAGAUAUAUUUAUUCAACCUGAACACUGUUUUUUUAAAUAUGCAUAAACAUUUGAAAAUCAGGAGACUCCAUGUAAAAAUUCAGACAUGCGGUUCCCUUGCAAAUUUAUAGGAAUUAGCAACAGGAAAGCUCAUUUCCAAUCCUCAGGUGCUAAGUAGCAGUAGAUUCCUCCAGUGCUUGCAGUGUGGACACACGCACUUCACCAAGUGGCCUUAUUCGUAUUUCCUGCCUGAUCCGUAACACAGGUUUGGGAACACUGAUAAAGACAGUAAAGCAUAAAACUUAGAAUUAAAAGACCUCUAUACUCAUUCCACUGUUAGCACCAAGGCAAUGCUCAUUUGGAUGUAGCUAGCAUCUAGACAGCUAGAUCUUAUCCAAAUAUACUGAUGAUGGGCUGUGUAUCAUCUUUAAGAGGCAGUUUUACCACAGCUAUGUCCAAUGUACAGCAAACUUGUUCAAUUAAUAGCUUAAUGCUUUACAACAAAGUGGAUGGUCUCUGUAUCUUGACUAGGAUGGGAGGGGAGAGGGUUAUUAUUAAAGUUGUAUCUAGAACCUGGGACUUUAGAUAUUAUCUAAUUUAAACUUCACAAUAAGGUCAGGAGGCUGGUGUUUUAUAGAUAGAAAAGCAAAGUUAAGGAAAAUAAGCUUACUUGAUGUUAAACAAUUACUAAGUGGUAGGGCAGCUAUUCAAAACCAAGUCUGUGUGACUAAAAAAAAAAAAAAAA